UAUAUAUACAAAAUAAAGUGAUAAAGAAAAGAAAACGGAAUCCUGAAGAAUUCGCAAAGAAAGUGAAAGUUGUUUGGAGCAGCAUUUGCAGGCGCCUAAAAGUAUACUUCAUUUUUUGAUAACUCCAUAAACAAUUGGCCGCAGAAAUCCUUCUCCUGUUGAGAAAAUAAAAAAACUAUUAUUUUGCAUUUCUUUUUUUUUUUUUUUUGUUCUAGCAACAAAAUCGUGUGAAAAUUUCAUUUUCUUACCAUAAUAUUCCUUCAUUCUUGCUCCUCUUCUUCUGUACGGUUUCAUUGUUAUUAUCCUGUGUCCGUUGUGUUCGUCACUUUUGUUACGUUUUCCUAAUAAAUUUUGCAAAUGUGUGUGUAUGCGUAAGCAUUGUCUUUGUUUGAUGCGACUCGACGCGACGCGAAGCUUCAUUGUGUAUCGGUGUAUGUGUGUCAAUGAGUAAAAUUCCGUGUAACGGUGGUGGUAAUCUUUCUGCCUUUGUGAGUGUGCAUGUGUGUGACUGCGUGCAUUCAUCAAGAGUUGGUGGGAAAAGUGAAAAAAUAUUGUUUUUGUUGUUUUUAAUAAGCUGUGACACAAGUUAAGGCCAAAAGAGAAAGUGUAUGUAUGACAUUCACUCAUACACACACACACACACACACAAACCCCCAUCAACAAAAAAUUAACAACGAAAACAAAUCGUUUAACAAGAGCCACAAAGCAACCAGCCAAAUAAACAAACAAACAGCCAAGCAAAAUAAAAAGUCAAAACAUCCCGUAUUGUGUUGUAAUGUUCUGUUCGGGGUACUUGGGCUUCGAAUGUGGGUCAAUACGGAGGCAGACCGGCCUUCAUAAUGUGCGUGUGUGAAUUGUGUUUAUUGUAAACGUUUAAACAUCAACACGAAAAAGUAAAACAAACCAGAGUAGCAGCAGUCGCCCCACACACGAAACGCAGCCAGUCGGGCCGUCAAUAACGCCAACAACAGCAACAACACUCCAUGUGAAAUCAUUACAUCUUCGAAUUGUUCUCAUUUCCUAAUUAAACACUUUGGAGGAGUGCAAAUUAAAGAAAUAAUCCUGAGAUUUGCAAAGAAUUUGUUGGAUUACGCUUUCCAGCAAACGCCAACCCUCCACUGAUAAUUUGGGAAAUGUAAGAGAACAGCAAAAACAACAACCACAAUAAAAUCCUUUAUCAUAUCAAACCUAAUUUAAGUUAAACUUAACUCAAAACAUAUCCAAACUUGUGCCAUCAACUUUAGAAUUUUAAGUACGAAAAAACACGAGGUUUUAGAAAAAAAA
rnacentral:sRNA from 1 species